AAUGAAGUGCCUGAAUAAACUAAAAGGGAUAUCUUGAUAGGAUAUAUCAUGUAAUAAAUAUACCUUCAUUA
rnacentral:tRNA from 1 species